UUCAUCUAUUCAUCGAUGGAAAUUUAUUAUCAACUCUUCCUUACUAAUAUUUAAUAGCAAUUUUUCAAUCGGAAAAUUCCUAAACUGAGUGGUUUUCACCCAUUGAAUUCCACCCAAUAUUUUCGUAAUCUUGAGGAUUUAUCUCAACUUGUGGCUGUUGCUGUUCACGCGUAUCACUGAAAUGGAUACCUUUUGCAGAUCUAAUCAUGGUGGGAAUUACAAAUAAAAUGUAUAACUUGCCUUACUUACCAGAUCUGAGAUAAUUAUCUUCCAGCUCCCAGAAGAUGAGUAGAUGGAUAUUGUGGUGUUUGGUGUAUAAAGCGAUGAGAAAGAAAUGAGACUGGCAGAUUUCAGAGACUGAAAAAAAAUGUAACCCAAUCCCGAUAUUGGAUCCCGCGAGAUUUUCUAAUGAGGCGGAAAGGUAUUUUGCCUGAGGUUUCAUCUUUAUUGCACUUUCAGUCACUGAUGAGGAAGUCAAUGGUCGGAGAUGAUACUUUCAAUACAGAUUAAUUUGCCACAUAUUAUCCCACAGAAAUGGGAGGGAUGUCAGCCCCUUUUACAAAGCCAUCAUCCCUCUUCAGUUAAUUUGCCAAAAUGGAAUUUAAUUGACGAAUUGGGGUGAUUUUCGAGGGUGGAAAAGAUUCUAAUCAAUUUGUUGAUUUUUAUGCUUAACCACCAGAAUGGACUUGAAUAAGAGAAAGAAGAUUCAAGAGUAUCUCAAUCACACCUGUGUUUGCUGAUAGGAUUCCAAUUGGACUAUUUUAAUUAAACUUCGUUGAACUUUUACAACUGAGGAGACAACUGUGGCAAAAUAAAUACAAUGCUGGAAAAUAUCAAAUGGCUGAGGGAAGCCAUUGAAGGCCCAACGAUUCGAUUUUUGUUAUCGAAGGGAUAGAGUUUUAUGAGCUCAUCGCUCACGGCUGAAGGCGUCAGGACACCGAGAUCUGUGAAGAGAAGGGUAAUAUAGGCCGGCGGAGUAUAAUCCACUUGGGGAUGGGUCUUGGAGAGAUCACCUCCGAGAGCUUUUCGGGGAUACUUGUACUCAUUGGGCAGAUCACGCUGAUUCAGUGGAUAGAGUCGAGAAAAUUUGAAACUCUCAGCUAGGACAUAAAAGGGCUUCUUCAUUUCCUUGGCACAGAGAGCCAUUGUGAGAGUACCUAUCCUAUUGAUAAUCCCUCCACUCUCUACAACUCCCUCAGCACCAGUAAGCACCAUGUCCACAUUCUCCAUCACAUAGCCAAUUGCUGAGUCAAGAAUUAGGGUACACUCAAUCCCGGACUUCUCCAGUUCAGCUUUCAUUUGUUCUCCAGCGUUAUCGGACGAGCUCCUGGUAAUAAAAACAUGGAAACGCUUAUUGGAUUGCGCAGCAACCGUAAUGGCCUCAAGGACAACUCUGGAUCUGGAGUGUGUGAGAACCCGACAGCCAUCCUGGAGAAAAAGAGAUGCCUGCUUGGCAAUGAUCUGACGGGCUUCAAGAAGUUUCUGCAAGAAGACAUUCCCUCGAUGCAGCAUGAUGGUCUUGCACUCCUCCAUCGUGAUGUCAUCAAUUUUGGCCAGCGUGAUAAAUCGAGAGAAGAGUUCACAUCCGGAUAUAACUGCCGUAAGUGGCUGUUCAGUCUGCCUCAUCGUCUCAAUGGCAGUCUUAAUCGUGCUGUGCAACUCCUGGACAGUAUCAACUGAAAAGCUCCCCAUACAUUAUCAAUCUUCAGGACAGCAUUCGAGCAUUACUGGGACUUACAUGGUGUUUGCUCCAGCACCAUCAGGAGAGUCUUAAUUGCGGCUAUCCCUGCAGACAAAUUUUUGUCUCUUUCAAUCUCCUGAGCGAAAUAUUUUGCUACGUCUGCAAAGAAAAACAGCCACACAUUAAAAUUGAAUAAUUAAUUGUAGAUUAACUAUGGAAAUUCAGUAAUAAUUACCAAAAGAUC